rnacentral:rRNA from 1 species
AGUGGACUCGGGGCUGGGAAAGUGAAAGAAAAGAAAGACCUCAGUCACGCUUCAGACCUCUGAUCAGGGAAGGCUACCCGCUGAGUUUAAG